rnacentral:rRNA from 1 species
AGUUUGAUCCUGGCUCAGGACGAACGCUGGCGGCGUGCUUAACACAUGCAAGUCGAACGGUGAACCAGAGCUUGCUCUGGGGAUCAGUGGCAACGGGUGAGUACACGUGGGCAACCUGCCCCAGACUCUGGGAUAACCUCGGGAAACCGAUGCUAAUACCGGAUACGACCGACUUCGGACAUCCGACGGUGGUGGAAAGUUUUUCGGUCUGGGAUGGGCCCGCGGCCUACCAGCUAGUUGGUGGGGUAAUGGCCUACCAAGGCGACGACGGGUAGCCGGCCUGAGAGGGCGACCGGCCACACUGGAACUGAGACACGGUCCAGACUCCUACGGGAGGCAGCAGUGGGGAAUAUUGCACAAUGGGGCGAAAGCCUGAUGCAGCGACGCCGCGUGAGGGACGACGGCCUUCGGGUUGUAAACCUCUUUCAGACAGGGACGAAGCGAAAGUGACUGUACCUGCAGAAGAAGCACCGCCUAACUACGUG